UUGACGAGACAACUUCGAAUAGGUCGUGAGAAGCUCGGCUCGUCGGCACCCCGGGUCAUUACAAAAACGACUCGUUGACAUCCGUAACUAACGCAUGUAGAUUAGAUGAGACUAGAACGAGCGAGCGAGAGAGAUGGAGACGGGUUUCGUGGUAGUUGAGAAGGUCCAAGGCAAAUCAACUGUCACUCGUUGCUUCUCAAAAUAUCCCCUCAAAUUCAUAAUACCCAGAAAGGCGGGCUCCUCCAAAGCUGAUGUUGUGUGGAUUUACAGUCUCACCUAUGGUGGGGGCAUAGUUUCUGGAGACUACAUUUCAUGUAGGCUGACUAUCGGAGAUGGCUGCAGCACCGUCUUAACAACGCAGGCUUCCACUAAGGUAUACAAGUCAGUGGGGUCGAAAUGUUCGGAGCAAUUCUUGGAGGCGCAAAUUGGAAGCAAUGCUCUUCUGGUUGUCAUUCCAGAUCCAGUGACAUGUUUUUCUACAGCAAGGUACCAUCAGAAGCAGGUCUUCAGAGUGGUUUUAGACUCAAGCUUGGUCAUUGUUGAUUGGAUUACAAGUGGGCGCCAUGAGAGGGGUGAAAAAUGGAACUUUGAGUUCUAUAAGAGCAUCAAUCACAUCUUCCUAGAAGAAGAUCAGCCUCUAUUUCUUGAUUCCGUGCUACUAGAGAAAGGAGGUUUUACCAGUAUUGCUGAACGCAUGCAAGAGUACCAAGUCAUAGCAAUGUUUAUACUCAUGGGACCCAAGUUGAAGAAUGUUCAAAACCAAGUACAAGAAGAUGUGAAGAGAAUGAUGUCUGACCAAUUCUAUGUUCCUUCAGGAUGCCGCACGAUAGUGGAUUCUAAUCAUGUGCUAGCAAAACCAACCUUAAUUGCUUCUUGCAGUACAUUUGGUCCCAAGGGGAUAGGUAUGGUUGUUCGAAUAGCUGCCUUGUCUACUGAAUCAGUUUACAAAUUUCUGCGGCAUCAAUUAGCUAGUCUGGAGCCCCUGCUUGGGGCAUCUCCAUAUUACCAAACAUGUGUUUAACCUUCAACUAUUAUGAUUGUUGCCGUAACCUUCAACUAUUAUGAUUGUUGCCAAGCAUUGUUCAUUGCGGCAAAUAUCUUAAGAAUCUUACUUUGUUUACGCUAGGGCAUACAGUGAUUGUUGACAUCAGAUUCUGAGAUUUGAUCCUUGCGCACUUCAUUAGUUUCGGUUACAUCUGGUUUGUCUCUGUAUUCUCUCUGAUUUUGGAACCUACAGUGAUGUAUCUGGGAGUCCUACAUCCCAGGACCAAAUGUUGACCCACCAAGGUUGGUGAGUUACAGAUCAAAUGGUCAUUGUUGUAUGGAGCAUAUUUGGGCUUGGCGGCAAGCAUGAAUCAACCAGGUUUUUUUAUUUGAAAGCAUUUCUGAAUACAUCCCCACCAAUACCUUUGCUGUAUUGCAAUUGCAGUUGAAAAUGCUUAUUGGGUCUUGCUUCUUUAUCA